CUGAAGCUUGACUUCCUGCUGCUUUUCCGGCGGACUUCAACAGCAUACGCACGUUAUUCCCGGACCGAUAAAACAUGCCGACAAAGAGUCACUACGAGCUGUGUGUGGAAGCUAACAAGCUGAGCAAACGUCGCGCCCUUGGAAGCGGAAGGAGGUGACACUUUCUGCGACCGCUGUGUUGCCACAUUUGAAAGACGAGAUCUUGCGUAGGACACUUCCAAAACAAAAGCUUCACUCUGCUUGGAGCCAGCAAAGGGUCCUUCCACUGGACCAGGACGUUGACUGGAGAUGUGACGUCUCCAACCCCUGGCGAAGUAAACAAGCAGACAGACAACAUCCACAGACUUGAAACGGGACGCAGAUUUAAGCCAAAGAGGGCAGCUGGCAGAAAGACGACCCAACAGUCGAAGAAGGACCAGAGACACGGCGGGCCUGUGCUCAGCGGAACUCUGAGAUCCACUUGCUUUGCAUCUGUGAGCACGACUUCAUGACUUUCACCUGCCAACACAACGACACACAAACAAACGAUUAAAUCAGUCUUCAGUUGUCGCACAUUGCCAGGCUGGAUAACUGGAUAACUUGUGUCAAAACAAGCGGUUGUCGACAUAAGGGUUGGGGACGUCUCUACGCUGCUGAUCCGCUUGAGAUGGUUUCCUGUGGACGGGACUCUCGCUGCGGUCUUGGAUCCGCUUGAACUGAACUCUCGCGGCUGUGUUGGAGCCACUAUGGAUUGAACUUUCACAGUAUCAUGUUAGACCCGCUCGACAUCCAUUGCUUUCGGUCCCCUAGAGGGGGGGGGUUGCCCACAUCAGAGGUCCUCUCCAAGGUUUCUCAUAGUCAGCAUUGUCACUGGCGUCCCACUGGAUGUGAAUUCUCCUUGUCCACUGGGUGUGAGUUUUCCUUGCCCUUUUGUGGGUUCUUCCGAGGAUGUUGUAGUCGUAAUGAUUUGUGCAGUCCUUUGAGACAUUUGUGAUUUGGGGCUAUAUAAAUAAACAUUGAUUGAUUGAUUGAUAAGCAAAACUAAGAAGCAAUCAGAUAAUCCAUGUGUGCAGCUGGUUUUAUUCCUGCCUAAUGUUGCACACUGAUUAGCGAAAACAAAGUUUGGUCUUUAAUAGAUGAACUAAAGUAACAAUAUGAAAGCACUGCUUCAUGCAGACGAGGGACGGGGGCACAGUGGGCGGGGCAGCGACAAGCCUGAGACCUCGAUGUAAUAUCAAUGCUCUGCAGAACUUUGUUGUAGAAGGUUCUGCAAAACAGUGACAUCAUAUUGAAUAAGUGGAAGAAAAAAAAAUCAGGAUGCUUUAUAAUUGUCCAUUCUUAACACGUACAAGACAUACAAACCCUGUUUCCAUAUGAGUUGGGAAAUUGUG